rnacentral:rRNA from 1 species
CGAUACAGGGUGACAGCCCCGUACACAAAAAUGCACAUGCUGUGAGCUCGAUGAGUAGGGCGGGACACGUGGUAUCCUGUCUGAAUAUGGGGGGACCAUCCUCCAAGGCUAAAUACUCCUGACUGACCGAUAGUGAACCAGUACCGUGAGGGAAAGGCGAAAAGAACCCCGGCGAGGGGAGUGAAAAAGAACCUGAAACCGUGUACGUACAAGCAGUGGGAGCACGCUUAGGCGUGUGACUGCGUACCUUUUGUAUAAUGGGUCAGCGACUUAUAUUCUGUAGCAAGGUUAACCGAAUAGGGGAGCCGAAGGGAAACCGAGUCUUAACUGGGCGUUAAGUUGCAGGGUAUAGACCCGAAACCCGGUGAUCUAGCCAUGGGCAGGUUGAAGGUUGGGUAACACUAACUGGAGGACCGAACCGACUAAUGUUGAAAAAUUAGCGGAUGACUUGUGGCUGGGGGUGAAAGGCCAAUCAAACCGGGAGAUAGCUGGUUCUCCCCGAAAGCUAUUUAGGUAGCGCCUCGUGAAUUCAUCUCCGGGGGUAGAGCACUGUUUCGGCAAGGGGGUCAUCCCGACUUACCAACCCGAUGCAAACUGCGAAUACCGGAGAAUGUUAUCACGGGAGACACACGGCGGGUGCUAACGUCCGUCGUGAAGAGGGAAACAACCCAGACCGCCAGCUAAGGUCCCAAAGUCAUGGUUAAGUGGGAAACGAUGUGGGAAGGCCCAGACAGCCAGGAUGUUGGCUUAGAAGCAGCCAUCAUUUAAAGAAAGCGUAAUAGCUCACUGGUCGAGUCGGCCUGCGCGGAAGAUGUAACGGGGCUAAACCAUGCACCGAAGCUGCGGCAGCGACGCUUAUGCGUUGUUGGGUAGGGGAGCGUUCUGUAAGCCUGUGAAGGUGUACUGUGAGGUAUGCUGGAGGUAUCAGAAGUGCGAAUGCUGACAUAAGUAACGAUAAAGCGGGUGAAAAGCCCGCUCGCCGGAAGACCAAGGGUUCCUGUCCAACGUUAAUCGGGGCAGGGUGAGUCGACCCCUAAGGCGAGGCCGAAAGGCGUAGUCGAUGGGAAACAGGUUAAUAUUCCUGUACUUGGUGUUACUGCGAAGGGGGGACGGAGAAGGCUAUGUUGGCCGGGCGACGGUUGUCCCGGUUUAAGCGUGUAGGCUGGUUUUCCAGGCAAAUCCGGAAAAUCAAGGCUGAGGCGUGAUGACGAGGCACUACGGUGCUGAAGCAACAAAUGCCCUGCUUCCAGGAAAAGCCUCUAAGCAUCAGGUAACAUCAAAUCGUACCCCAAACCGACACAGGUGGUCAGGUAGAGAAUACCAAGGCGCUUGAGAGAACUCGGGUGAAGGAACUAGGCAA